GCCAGUGUGGCAUAGUGGUUUGAGCGUUGGACGAGGGCCCUAGAGACCAGGGUUCGAUUCCCCACUCAGACA